rnacentral:rRNA from 1 species
GAUGAACGCUGGCGGCGUGCUUAACACAUGCAAGUCGAACGAUAAAGCCCAGCUUGCUGGGUGGAUUAGUGGCGAACGGGUGAGUAACACGUGAGUAACCUGCCCUUGACUCUGGGAUAAGCCCGGGAAACUGGGUCUAAUACCGGAUAGGAGCGCCUGUCGCAUGACGGGUGUUGGAAAGAUUUUUCGGUCAUGGAUGGACUCGCGGCCUAUCAGCUUGUUGGUGAGGUAAUGGCUCACCAAGGCGACGACGGGUAGCCGGCCUGAGAGGGUGACCGGCCACACUGGGACUGAGACACGGCCCAGACUCCUACGGGAGGCAGCAGUGGGGAAUAUUGCACAAUGGGCGGAAGCCUGAUGCAGCGACGCCGCGUGAGAGAUGACGGCCCUUUCCGG